CAGUAGCCACGGUAAUACGGAGGGAGCUAGCGCUGUUCGGAAUCACUGGGCGUAAAGCGCACGUAGGCGGCUAUUCAAGUCAGGGGUGAAAGCCCGGGGCUCAACCCCGGAACUGCCUUUGAAACUAGAUAGCUUGAAUCUUGGAGAGGCGAGUGGAAUUCCGAGUGUAGAGGUGAAAUUCGUAGAUAUUCGGAAGAACACCAGUGGCGAAGGCGACUCGCUGGACAAGUAUUGACGCUGAGGUGCGAAAGCGUGGGGAGCAAACAGGAUUAGAUACCCGCGUAGUCCCUGUCUCUUAUAC
rnacentral:rRNA from 1 species